rnacentral:rRNA from 1 species
AUGUGCUCGUGUCAUCGGUCCACUUGGCACUUGGGGAGGCGAAGGUGGGUCCAUGGGGAUGACCGUGGGAUGCUUUGCAUCACGGUCUCCUACGACGGCAGGGAUGGAGUAGUCGACGACGACUUGGCGACGCACUUGCAUAGAGGGGCAGCAGCGGGCGAGAUCCGUAGCAAGGGAAAGAGAGAUAGGGUGAGGGGAGAGAAAGAGAGUAGAGGGAGGAGGAGCUGGGAGGAGGGGGCCAGCAUUGGGAAGUGUCCUUGCCGAGCAGCCCGAUGCACCAGGCACCUCUUGCACCCUCACCCUUCUCCCCUAGCAAGCUCUGUCGCUGCCGGGACCGCGGACACCAUCGAUGCCCUGGAGGUGGUUGGUGACAAGGCCCUCGCUCCAACCGUGCAACAACAACGCCUGGCCCAGCACUCGAAUAGAAGGACGUCGAGGGCAGCAGCGCGGUGUUGCACUUCUUCCUCGCCUACGGCGACGUGCAAUUGUCCAUCAUGGCUUACAAGGCGUGACAGAGGUAUUGAGGUCAUGCACGUGCGCGGUCGCCGUCACGCUCCGGCAACUCAACAGGCUCUUCAGUUGCUCCCACGAUGA